GGAAGAGAGCAUGGAAAGAGGAGAGUCUUAGAAUAAAUGGGCAAGAGUUGGAAGAAAAUGAGGAGAGAUCAAAGGAUGGAAAGAAGACAACUGCACUUGUGAGAAGCUGACUAUAAUGGACAUGACUAUUCAGGGAGAAGUAAUAAACCAAAGAAAAAGGACCCAAGUACAGGACUGUCCUGAGGAGGGAAAAAGAAGAGGCAGAGAAGAAUUACCUUCACAUAAAUGCCUCUGGGCCAUGAAAGUGUGCUCUGGACCUGGGGCAGGUGGCAGUGCUGGGAUGGAGUGGCUGGGACAGAUGCACAGGAAGAACGGAGGAGAGCCGCAGUCGGCCAGCCUGUCCUCACCGCGGAGAGCCUGCGCGUAUCCUUCAGGUAGACAGGAAGAAGUGGUGCAUGCAUCAGGUGCAGGUGUACAACAGGAAAAGGAAAGACAAGUAGAAUGGGCUCAAAAAACACCAAGUGCUUUCACCAUGCCAGCUAAGAUAUAAAGAAAAUGUUUGCACUGCCUCAGGGCACACUGCCCCCAACACUGCUGAUCCACAGCCCAGGACACAGCUUUCUGUGGGGAAAUGAGGACAGACAGAGAAAGUGUUUGCCAUAUGAUUCCUGUUACCAUCAAAAACAAUCAUACUGUGUGAUACAGACCAUCUGUUUAGGAUAUGGCAGACACACUUGGAAAAUCCAGAAUAAUGAGAUCUCAAAUCCAUCAUUUGUUAGAGACGUUAUUGGUCCAAGAAGAUGCCCUUUGAGUCCUCUGUGCUGAGGCGUCAUUAGAGGGAUCAGCCAGGCCUCACACCUACCUGUGCUCGACAUCUCACGCCAUAACUGCGUGUCCCUUGGCUGGCUGACCUGGGGUUGGACUGUGCUGUUGGCACAGUGCUGGCCGCCCACAAGGGUGUGGUGACAAUUGCUGAAGUAAAUGCCAUACAGCCUUCUGAGCAAUUCAAAAGAGGGAUGCUGGCCAGCUACCCAAAGCCGUGGCACAC